rnacentral:tRNA from 1 species
GCGGUCCUAGUCUAGUGGCUGGGCCUGAGCCUUCCAAGCUCAUGAGGCCGGCUCGAUCCCGGCGGACCGCU